UCCUGUGACUCUUCACUAGGACUAUCCUGGCCAAGGUUUUGCUAAAUUGAAACACGACUGUACACAGCUCUUAAACUGGAGUGGUCAAUCCCAUCUUGACACACGCAUCGACAAGUCAAGUACUUGACUACACCCAGCAGCCUUCCGUCAUUGAAUUAAAAAUUCAGGUAGUCCAGUGACUAAGUGCAGUGAGUUGCUUGCAAGUCACCGUGGCGGU
rnacentral:lncRNA from 1 species